UAUACAGAAGACGUCUUGUUA
rnacentral:piRNA from 1 species